CCUACGGGUGGCAGCAGUGGGGAAUAUUGCACAAUGGGCGCAAGCCUGAUGCAGCCAUGCCGCGUGUGUGAAGAAGGCCUUCGGGUUGUAAAGCACUUUCAGCGGGGAGGAAGGCGUUAAGGUUAAUAACCUUGGCGAUUGACGUUACCCGCAGAAGAAGCACCGGCUAACUCCGUGCCAGCAGCCGCGGUAAUACGGAGGGUGCAAGCGUUAAUCGGAAUCACUGGGCGUAAAGCGCACGCAGGCGGUCUGUCAAGUCGGAUGUGAAAUCCCCGGGCUCAACCUGGGAACUGCAUUCGAAACUGGCAGGCUAGAGUCUUGUAGAGGGGGGUAGAAUUCCAGGUGUAGCGGUGAAAUGCGUAGAGAUCUGGAGGAAUACCGGUGGCGAAGGCGGCCCCCUGGACAAAGACUGACGCUCAGGUGCGAAAGCGUGGGGAGCAAACAGGAUUAGAUACCCUUGUAGUC
rnacentral:rRNA from 1 species